rnacentral:lncRNA from 1 species
UGGGUUUUUUUUGGUUAUUUUUUUGGUUAGUUUAUUUAUUGAUGCUGGGUUUUUUUUUGUAUUAUUUAAAUUGCCAAUUUAACCAAUGACUUGGGAUUUGUUUUUUUUUUAACCUCAUUAUUUUUACAUUAAGAAAAAUUAUUUGGCCCAUGGCGACGCGUUGGCAACAUAUCUAGUACAAACCUAAAGUAAGAGGAAAUAUUAUGGAUUGUAAC